CAUUUGGACCCAUAUCUCAAAAAUGCUGCAGUAAAAUGGUUUGAUAUGAGGUGUGCAUAUACUAUGGCAUAUCCUUUAUAAGAACUGACCAUUGUUUUUUUCUACUUAUUAGAAAUGGGAUCUUUAUAGCCCUUUAAAGUGUAAUAAUGUCCCAUAUCUCGAAAAUGCUGCAGUAAAAUGGUUUGAUAUGAGGUGUGCAUAUAGUAUGGGACAUCCCUGAUAAGAACUGACCAUUGUUUUUUUCUACUUAUUAGAAAUGGGAUCUUUACAGCCAUUUAAAGUGUAAUAAUGUCCCGUAUCUUGAAAAUGCUGCAGUAAAAUGGUUUGAUAUGAGGUGUGCAUAUAGUAUGGGACGUCCCUGAUAAGAACUGACUAUUGUUUUUUUCUACUUAUUAGAAAUGGUGUCUUUAUAGCCCUCUAAAUCAUUGUAUUGUCCCAUAUCUGAAAAAUGCUGCAGUAAAAUGGUUUGAAAUGAGGUGUGCAUAUAGUAUGGGACAUCCCAGAUAAGAACUGACUGUUGUUUUUUUCUACUUAUUAGAAAUGAUGUCUUUAUAGCCCUCCAAAUCACCAUUUGGACCCAUAUCUCGAAAAUGCUGCAGUAAAAUGGUUUGAUAUGAGGUGUGCAUAUAGUAUGGCAUGUCCUUUAUAAGAACUGCCCAUUGUUUUUUUCUACUUAUUAGAAAUUAUGUCUUUAUAGCCCUCCAAAUCACCAUUUGGACCCAUAUCUCAAAAAUGCUGCAGUAAAAUGGUUUGAUAUGAGGUGUGCAUAUAGUAUGGCAUAUCCUUUAUAAGAACUGACCAUUGUUUUUUUCUACUUAUUAGAAAUUGGGUCUUUAUAGCCCUUUAAAGUGUAAUAAUGUCCCAUAUCUCAAAAAUGCUGCAGUAAAAGGGUUUGAUAUGAGGUGUGCAUAUAGUAUGGGACAUCCCUGAUAAGAACUGACUGUUGUUUUUUUCUACUUAUUAGAAAUGGGAUCUUUAUAGCCCUUUAAAGUGUAAUAAUGUCCCAUAUCUCGAAAAUGCUGCAGUAAAAUGGUUUGAUAUGAGGUGUGCAUAUAGUAUGGGACAUCCCUGAUAAGAACUGACCAUUUUUUUUUUCUACUUAUUAGAAAUGGGAUCUUUACAGCCAUUUAAAGUGUAAUAAUGUCCCGUAUCUUGAAAAUGCUGCAGUAAAAUGGUUUGAUAUGAGGUGUGCAUAUAGUAUGGGACGUCCCUGAUAAGAACUGACUAUUGUUUUUUUCUACUUAUUAGAAAUGGUGUCUUUAUAGCCCUCUAAAUCAUUGUAUUGUCCCAUAUCUGAAAAAUGCUGCAGUAAAAUGGUUUGAAAUGAGGUGUGCAUAUAGUAUGGGACAUCCCAGAUAAGAACUGACUGUUGUUUUUUUCUACUUAUUAGAAAUGAUGUCUUUAUAGCCCUCCAAAUCACCAUUUGGACCCAUAUCUCGAAAAUGCUGCAGUAAAAUGGUUUGAUAUGAGGUGUGCAUAUAGUAUGGCAUGUCCUUUAUAAGAACUGACCAUUGUUUUUUUCUACUUAUUAGAAAUUAUGUCUUUACAGCCCUCCAAAUCACCAUUUGGACCCAUAUCUCAAAAAUGCUGCAGUAAAAUGGUUUGAUAUGAUGUGUGCAUAUAAUAUGGGACGUCCCUGAUAAGAACUGACUAUUCUAUUUUUCUACUUAUUAGAAAUGGGAUCUUUAUAGCCCUUUAAAGUGUAAUAAUGUCCCAUAUCUCAAAAAUGCUGCAGUAAAAGGGUUUGAUAUGAGGUGUGCAUAUAGUAUGGGAUGUCCUUUAUAAGAACUGACCAUUGUUUUUUUCUACUUAUUAGAAAUGAUGUCUUUAUAGCCCUCCAAAUCACCAUUUGGACCCAUAUCUCAAAAAUGCUGCAGUAAAAGGGUUUGAUAUGAGGUGUGCAUAUAGUAUGGGAUGUCCUUUAUAAGAACUGACCAUUGUUUUUUUCUACUUAUUAGAAAUUAUGUCUUUAUAGCCCUCCAAAUCACCAUUUGGACCC